UAAAGACAUUGAGGUGCCAACCAUGCAAACAUACAUAAUCAAUGUUUUAAAACCAGACUGGACCUUGGCCCUUUCUCCUGACCGGUCACACCCGUUCUGACCCAUUUCAACUAAAAAAUAUUCUUAUUUGUAAUCAUUAAAAAAUAGAAAGAACUAAAAAAUAAUAUGUCAUUGGCGUAGUGGUUCAGCCGUUUGAUUUCAAGUGGAGGUAGGGAAUUGAACUUUGACUGAUGCUUUUUUUAAAAAAAUAAAUACAAAAGCAGUAAAAAACAGUCAUCCACUUAACUGACUGGAUUUCUUGACCUGAAACAUUUGGUGGCUGUUCUGGUCCAAUGGCUCAGUCCACCUGGGUUUAAAACAUGUGCAUACUUGUGGUUAUAAGAGAAAAUAAAUUCUCUUUUUUCCCCCUUUUUUGUUGCACUACCAAUUAUGUUGGUGAUAACAUUAUGUUUAGGAUAUGUUUGUACGCAGCCGGCUUUGCUUGAAUCAGAUUGGAAGAACCCAUCCUUUUGAGUGGAAGACGGUGCAAAAAUAAUUGGAAAAGGCGCCCAUCUUAAUGUGUUUCUGCUUCCACAUGAAACUUUAUGGAUAAACCAAAUGCCUGAUCUUUUAGAUUGAAAUCUCUUUGGAUAAAAGAAUCCAAAGGAGUCAGGAUUCACCACCAUCCCAAACAGGACCCAAGUUCACAAUUAGUUGCAAUGUUGCUCUUCGAAAAAAAGAAAUCACUAUUAUUAACUUGUUCUGUGUUUGUAACAUUUUCUUGUAAGAAAUAAAGUGCACUAAUGUAACCUUAUACUUUUUAAUAAUACCUUGUAACAAGGUACAUUACCAAUCAGAUUUUCUGGCACAUGCACACCAAGGAAUAUUUUCAGCAAGCUUCUGAUGGAUGAAGAGAGUGACUCUUUUUUUAGGCUCAAUCACUACCCUCCAUGACCUGAACUUAAAGCAUUGAGUUGCAACUUAACUGGUUUUGGAGAACACACUGACCCUCAGAUAAUAUCAGUUCUGAGAUCAAACAAUACAUCAGGCCUUCAAAUCUCUCUCAGUGAUGGGAGCUGGGUUUCAGUCCCACCUGACCACAACUCCUUCGUCAUUGUUGGUUAUUCCUCGCAGGUAUGGGCAAACAAAGCCAGUUUAUGCAUAUCGUUUGAUGGCACAUGGAACUAUGGAAGAAAAAAUAUAUAAACGGCAGUUGGAAUGCUGAAGUUUAAAGAAUUAGUAGAGGCUUCUAUUGUGGUUCUCAGAUGUCGAAGAGCAUCAAAGCAUGCCUGCCCACUUUCAGUCCCAACUGAUUUGCUACUGGUCUACUUGUUGAGGAGACAUUGUCUGGUGCACCAGUCCAUACAGAUAAGGAGCCUCCUUAUUGUUGAAACAAAUGCACUUAGACAUUGGUGAAGCUGAAUUUUCUAGAUUCCAUUCUGGUACCAAACGUGGUGAUAUUGUUGGUGUCACUGGAAUUCCAGGUUGGUUGGUUUUCAUUUAUGUUCUUCAAUUCUAGCUAGCAAAACUUUUCCUGUAUCUUAUCCUUUGGGUAUUGGCUGUACUUGCAUGUCAAAAUAUUGAUUUCUUCCUUUGUAAACAGUGACACUUGAGCUUUGUAGGAGAAAGUGGAUCACUGAUUAUGUUAGACUUUUGGUAUUUGCAAAAGAGUGGAAAGCAGCAGCAAUGUGUUCAAAGUCUUAUGAAUAAAAGUUCAUUGGUCUAUUGUA